UCCCUGGGCACUAGAUGCCCCUGAAGGGCCGUUGAAGACGACGACGUAGAUAGGCUGGGUGUGUAAGCGUAGCGAUACGUUGAGCUAACCAGUACUAAUGACCCGAGAGGCUUAACCUUACAACACCGAAGGUGUUU
rnacentral:rRNA from 1 species